rnacentral:rRNA from 1 species
UACGUAGGGUGCAAGCGUUGUCCGGAAUUAUUGGGCGUAAAGGGCUCGUAGGCGGUCCAUCGCGUCGGGAGUGAAAAGCUGGGGCUUAACCCCAGUCCUGCUUCCGAUACGGGUGGACUAGAGGUAGGUAGGGGAGAACUGAAUUCCUGGUGUAGCGGUGAAAUGCGCAGAUAUCAGGAGGAACACCGGUGGCGAAGGCGGUUCUCUGGGCCUUACCUGACGCUGAGGAGCGAAAGCAUGGGGAGCAAACAGG